rnacentral:tRNA from 1 species
GGGGAUUUAGCUCAGCGGCAUAAGCGCCUGCCUUGCAAGCAGGCAGUCCUGGGUUUGAUUCCCGGUACCG